rnacentral:rRNA from 1 species
GAUGAACGCUGGCGGCGUGCCUAAUACAUGCAAGUCGAGCGAACAGACGAGGAGCUUGCUCCUCUGACGUUAGCGGCGGACGGGUGAGUAACACGUGGAUAACCUACCUAUAAGACUGGGAUAACUUCGGGAAACCGGAGCUAAUACCGGAUAACAUGUUGAACCGCAUGGUUCAACAGUGAAAGACGGUCUUGCUGUCACUUAUAGAUGGAUCCGCGCCGCAUUAGCUAGUUGGUAAGGUAACGGCUUACCAAGGCAACGAUGCGUAGCCGACCUGAGAGGGUGAUCGGCCACACUGGAACUGAGACACGGUCCAGACUCCUACGGGAGGCAGCAGUAGGGAAUCUUCCGCAAUGGGCGAAAGCCUGACGGAGCAACGCCGCGUGAGUGAAGAAGGUCUACGGAUCGUAAAACUCUGUUAUUAGGGAAGAACAAAUGUGUAAGUAACUAUGCACGUCUUGACGGUACCUAAUCAGAAAGCCACGGCUAACUACGUG